rnacentral:tRNA from 1 species
AGAAUUCAAAAAUCUCAGUGCUACCAAUUACACCACAUCCUA